GGAGAACUGCGAGGAGCCAACUCCAGUACGAGAGGACUGGGUUGGGUCAACCUAUGGUGUACCGGUUGUUAUGCCAAUAGUUGCGCCGGGCAGCUAAGUUGGUAUGGAAGAACUGCUGCAUGCGCCGCGGGAAAUCCUUCUCUAUACAAGUUCUCGUACGAGGUUUUUGAACAGAACUUUGAUAGGCGAGAGGUGUAAGCACCGCGAGGUGCGAAGCGAUCUCGUACUAAACGAAUGG
rnacentral:ncRNA from 1 species